UACGUAGGCAGCAAGCGUUGUUCGGAAUUACUGGGCGUAAAGGGUGCGUAGGCGGCUUUUUAAGUUUGGUGUGAAAUCUCCCGGCUCAACUGGGAGGGUGCGCCGAAUACUGAGAAGCUAGAGUGUGGGAGAGGAAAGUGGAAUUCCUGGUGUAGCGGUGAAAUGCGUAGAUAUCAGGAGGAACACCGGUGGUGUAAACGGCUUUCUGGACCAUAAACUGACGCUGAGGCAACGAAAGCGUGGGUAGCAAACAGG
rnacentral:rRNA from 1 species